AUAAUUCUUUGAAGAAAAUAAUGUGCUUCAACUGUGAUAUAAAGCUAUAGUGCUGGUUUGUCUUAAACAGUUCAGUCCCAUUCAAUUUUUUAAAAAACAUAUUAAUAGCAUAUCUCUCCUAACUGAACAGCAGAAGCAAAACAGCCAAAAUAUACUUUAUGCCUGCAAUUGAUAUAGCCAACUCAAGACAGCACUGGAAAGUGUUUUCUGUCUAUAAUAUUUUUUUUAAAGCAAGGUUGGGAAAAGAGACACUGAAGAGAAGCUUGACAUAACCAGAGCUUUGUACGGAAAGGUUAAGCUUCAAUUGCCUGACCUCCCUCAAAGACCGGGUGAAUGUUUAGCAGCUGGUGUUGUGCAUGGCUGGUGGGGAUAUAUAUCCAGCCAGCUACAACCAGUGAACCAGGAUAUCCUUGUCAUCCACCUCCCACUCCAUCUGAGAGCAAGGUCUCUUCUGCACGUCUGCCAAGGGCCCAGUAAUCCCAGAAGAGGAGAGAGAGAGAGAGAGAGAGAUUUGUUUCCCCAACCACUUUCAAAAGACAGAAAUCAAAGAAACAGCCAUGGAUGCUGAUCCAAGGAUCUGCCUGGCGUUCCUAUAUAAGAAUGACCCUUUCUAUUCACUCUGCCUUUCAGACUUGCUGACAGCACCCCAGCAGGUUAAGAAUAAGUUUCUCAAGGAGCAGAAAGACCUAGCAAUGACUAUAAAGAAACUGGAACAGCAGAAGCUGAGCAGGCUGCGACAACUGGACGAGGAGAAAAAACAGUUCACUCUGCUCAUGAGGAAGAAACUGAGCCCAGGGGUCAUCAUCAGGACAGGGUCAUCCAUGACCAUGGAAAGAGGUUCCCAGAGGACAUUCUCCAGUGUCCAGUUUUCUUCUCUGGCUUCAAGCAAGAGCAGCUGGAAGAGGCAUGGCAGCAACCCACACCCCCGAUCAGGCCCUGGCUUCUUUUCAGCCAUUGGACGAUAGGUUCCUGCAACUCACACUCCAAAAGUUUUGCAAAGUAAGCUUGACACCCAGGGAGAACUGGAUCUUAAAAAUGCAACGUUCCAGGCCAGGCAUGGAGAACCUUACUGGGACUGCUGUGAAUUGUAGUUCAGCAACAUCUGUCCUUGCUUAACCUAACUCACAUUAUUGUCAAGAUUUAAUAGCAGCAAUAGCAGCAUGAUCCCAUGGAUGUCUACUCCGAAGUUGCGUUCAGUGGGAUUUUUUCCCAGGUAAGGGCAGAGACAAGGAUCUGGCCUUCCUUGUCAGAUCCAGUUCCGCAGUCCUGCAACAUAAAAUCAGCCCCAGUUCUCUGGAAGAAAGGCAGGAUUCAAAAGUGAUCUGAGAGUUCUGUACAAGCCUGAAUGUCUGAACUGGCUCUUCUGUGUUUUCCACCCACAGGCACCCAAUCUUUAUUUCCCAGGCUCUGUGCUGGUAGAGAAUAUAUACAAAUGCCUAGAUAGCAAGAAGGAAUGAACAAGAAGUGGAAGUUAGCUGCCUCUUAGUGGUCACGAUGCCGUCCGUGAACUUUCACGGAAUUAUCAACAAGGAGUGUUGUUUUUAAAAAAGUGAAAGGGAACCGUAGGCAGUCUCCACUCAGUCCCACUCGAAAGAUGGGCUAGGCUGCAAUCCUGCUGCAAUCCACACUUAAACCUGGUGUAAUCUCUACUGAACUCAAUGGGACUUAUUUUUGUAGACAUGUACAAGAUUGCAGUUUUGUGUAUAAAUUUGUUCACGUGCACAUUUGAGGAGAUAUGUGAACAGAGAAGACUUCUCUAGGACUGAUUAAUGUAGGCUUGUAAACAGCUACUAACCCGGUUGCAAAUGAGUGGCAGCAACUGCCAGCAGGUGGAUCAGGCAGAAUUCUGUAUAUUGAAAGUAAUUUAGUUCCCCAGACUUCUCUUCAGGCAAUUAAUGUCAUAAACUACUAACGCAGACAUAGGAAUCUUAUAAAUGUCAGCUGCUGAUGUCAGGAUCUAGGCCACGGUUGAUUUUCUGAGCAUGCAACUCCAUUGUGCAGUGACUUCUGGUGCAUUUUUGGACCCAAUUCAAAGCAAUGGCUAUUACAAGAGGCAAAUCGCUUUCCUGCAAAAUCGGAAAAGCAGCUAAUUUUCCAAGCCAAUAUAUCAUUUGUACGUUACCCACUCAUUACACAGUCUGCAGCAGCUGGACUGAUUUUGGGAGGCUGCUCUGUGAACAAUUAGCCUCCAGUUUUAUUUCGUUUGCAUCGACUUCAAGUUAAUUUCUGGAUGAAAUUCAGUGUGCCUGUUCUUACCUAUAAAGCCCAAGCAGUUUGGGACCAGGACACUUGAAGGACUACCUGCUCCCAGAUUGUCCUGCAUCCAAAGUCGAAGGCCCUGCUAUGCACCCUCCUGCUUUCAAAACCUCAGCUGGUUGGAACAUGAGAUGGGUCCUUUUCUACGGAGGCUUGUGACUUGUGGCUCCAUCUCCCACCCCCUGUAUUUCUUGCUUCAGGCACCUUUCAAUGCAGGUUACAUUUGACUGUUUUGUCCUGCUCCUGAUUCUGCUGUUCAGGUAACUGAACCGUUCUUAAUUUGAACUUUUAAAAAUUGCAGGUUAAGUCAUUUUAUGAACUUCUUUGUAAGCUGCUUUGAGGGUUUUUGUAAUUAAAGAAAAGUGUGACAUGCAUUUUUAACUAAAUAAAGUAACUACGCAGUUUAGUGGGCCA